CUCAGAAGAUUGUUGAAGUUAAUGCCUUGGCAAAGGCCUUGGCUGGUCAAAAGGAUGAGGCAUUCUUUGCUGCUAACGCUGAAGCUCAUGCUUCAAGGAAGUCGUCCCCAAGGGUGACCAAUGAGGCUGUUCAGAAAGCGGCUGCUGCUUUGAAGGGCUCUGAUCACCGCCGUGCUACAAAUGUUAGCGCAAGACUUGAUGCUCAACAGAAGAAGCUUAACCUUCCAAUCCUUCCAACCACCACCAUUGGCUCCUUCCCUCAAACUGUUGAACUCAGGAGGGUUCGUCGUGAAUACAAAGCUAACAAGAUCUCUGAGGAGGAAUAUGUGAAGGCUAUCAAGGAGGAAAUUAGCAAGGUUGUCAAGCUCCAAGAAGAGCUCGACAUCGAUGUUCUUGUCCAUGGAGAGCCCGAGAGAAACGAUAUGGUUGAAUACUUUGGGGAGCAGUUGUCAGGUUUUGCAUUCACCGUCAAUGGUUGGGUGCAGUCAUACGGUUCUCGUUGUGUGAAGCCUCCAAUCAUCUAUGGUGACGUGAGCCGCCCGAAAGCCAUGACUGUCUUCUGGUCUACCCUGGCUCAGAGCAUGACCGCCCGCCCAAUGAAGGGAAUGCU
rnacentral:misc_RNA from 1 species